rnacentral:rRNA from 1 species
CCUACGGGAGGCAGCAGUGAGGAAUAUUGGUCAAUGGACGAGAGUCUGAACCAGCCAAGUAGCGUGAAGGAUGACUGCCCUAUGGGUUGUAAACUUCUUUUAUAAAGGAAUAAAACGAGGCACGUGUGCCUUUUUGCAUGUACUUUAUGAAUAAGGAUCGGCUAACUCCGUGCCAGCAGCCGCGGUAAUACGGAGGAUCCGAGCGUUAUCCGGAUUUAUUGGGUUUAAAGGGAGCGUAGAUGGGUUGUUAAGUCAGUUGUGAAAGUUUGCGGCUCAACCGUAAAAUUGCAAUUGAUACUGGCAGUCGUGAGUACAGUUGAGGUAAGCGGAAUUCGUGGUGUAGCGGUGAAAUGCUUAGAUAUCACGAAGAACCCCGAUUGCGAAGGCAGCUUACUAAACUGUGACUGACAUUGAUGCUCGAAAGUGUGUGUAUCAAACAGGAUUAGAUACCCGGGUAGUC